CGUUCGCAAUGGCGACCACUCCCUCUUCCUGGAAGCAGCCCCCGCCUGCUCCGGCGCCCCCUGGGUCUUCUCCUGUCCCCCAGCCACGGCCUCUACCAGCUCGUCCCAUGUUGGGUCCUGGAUGUCCUCUCUUCUCUCCCCACUGUCUCUCUCCCGAGCCCCUUCUUCCUCUCCUGCAGAUCCACGUACCAUCUCUAUGUCACUCACCCCCAAAUUCACGGCCCAGCCAAGCCUUUCCCUCUGAACCUAAACACACACAUCCGGCACCGCCUCUGGGAUGUCUCCGGGAUCUGAGGACCCACCACUGGCUGCAGGGGGUGGACGGUGAAACUGGAGAAGGCACAAGAUGUCCGUUGACGGCUGUGUGUGCUGGAGCAGCAGGGCCCAGAGCAAGCAAGGAGAGAGCUGUUCUCAGAAGGAGAAUCAAAACCGCUGCGGCUCACCAUCAUGUGGACACAUCAUAGGUCAAGAAGGUGCCUCUUUUGGAAAAGGUUCUCAGAAGGCCCUCUCACCAGACUCUACCUGCCAUGUGACCAGGCAAGAGGUGUGGGGACCAGUUAUCCCUGCCGCACCACUCCAAGGUGGCUGUCACAGUGGAUUAUACCCGCAGCCCCCACACCAGCCUUGUCUGCCUAGACAGACCAGAGGCCGGCCUGGAAACAAGAUGGCCCUGCAAAGGGCAGUGACGUGCAAGACACGAUGCCACCUGCUGGUGGACGUCGGCAUGGCAGGCAGCCACCAAGCUCCUUCCCCCGGAACCGGUAGCAGGUGUGUUAGGGCCCUGCCUUUGCUUCUUGAUGGUGGGGCAUAAAGUCUUGUUUUCUUUUUUCUUUUUUUCUUUUUCUGUACAUUUCCUUCACUCCAAAAAUGUUGCCUCAUGUGCUUUUCUGGCCAUCUCCAUCGCCCUG
rnacentral:lncRNA from 1 species